GGGGAUAACCGGGAGAAAUCCCGACUAAUACCGCGUAACGCCGCGGGGCUGCAUGGCCCCGCGGCCAAAGGAAGCGAUUCCGGCGGGGGAUGGGCAUGCGGCGCAUUAGCUAGUCGGCGGGGUAACGGCCCACCGAGGCGACGAUGCGUAGGGGUUCUGAGUGGAAGGUCCCCCACACUGGUACUGAGACACGGACCAGACUCCUACGGGAGGCAGCAGUGAGGAAUAUUGGUCAAUGGGCGGGAGCUUGAACCAGCCAAGUCGCGUGAGGGAAGACGGUCCUACGGAUUGUAAACCUCUUUUGCCGGGGAGCAACGGGGUCCUUGCGAGGGUCUGAUGAGAGUACCCGGAGAAAAAGCAUCGGCUAACUCCGUGCCAGCAGCCGCGGUAAUACGGAGGAUGCGAGCGUUAUCCGGAUUUAUUGGGUUUAAAGGGUGCGUAGGCGGGCUGUUAAGUCAGCGGUCAAAUGUCGGGGCUCAACCCCGGCCUGCCGUUGAAACUGGCGGCCUCGAGUGGGCGAGAAGUAUGCGGAAUGCGUGGUGUAGCGGUGAAAUGCAUAGAUAUCACGCAGAACUCCGAUUGCGAAGGCAGCAUACCGGCGCCCGACUGACGCUGAGGCACGAAAGCGUGGGUAUCGAACAGGAUUAGAUACCCUGGUAGUCCACGCAGUAAAACGAUGAAUGCUAGCUG
rnacentral:rRNA from 1 species